CCUACGGGUGGCAGCAGUCGAGAAUCUUUCACAAUGGGGGAAACCCUGAUGCUGCGACGCCGCGUGGGGGAAUGAGGGUCUUGGGAUUGUAAACCCCUUUCGUGGGGGAGCAAAUUUGACAGUUAGUACCACAAAAGCAAGAGCCGGCUACCUCUGUGCAACCAGCCGAGGUCGUACGGAUGUCUCAAGCGUUGUUCGUACUCAAUGUGAGUGAAGCGUGCGUAGGCUGGUUCGUCAGUCGUGUGGGAAAGGCGCGGGCUCAACCGGCGGCCUGCAUAUGAUCCUGCGAGACUAGAGUGAUGGAGAGGUAGGCGGAAUUCUCGGUGUAGCAGUGAAAUGCGUAGAUAUCGGGAGGAACACUCGUGGCGAAGGCGGGUUCCUGGACAUUAACUGACGCUGAGGCACGAAGGCCAGGGGAGCGAAAGGGAUUAGAUACCCUUGUAGUC
rnacentral:rRNA from 1 species